rnacentral:lncRNA from 1 species
AAGGCCAAGUCCAGAUCUUGAGUGAGUACAAAUCCACGAGGAAGCAGAGAUGAGCAAGGCUCAACAAUUCAUUUGGACCUUGACUGAUUUUUUUCAAGCUUUCCUUGAAAUGGCAGCAGAGGGACUAACAAGAACAUGAGCUGCAAGGAUAAAGAGAACAGCAAAGGAGAAGAGAACAAUAAAAUCUCAGACCUGGGGAGCACAGGGAACAGCUGAACCGACUGAGGAAACCAGGGAGAUGAAAACUGGGCGUUGCAGGAAGGUCCCCAAACCCCGAGGUCUUCAGUACAAAACGUGAGGCUGCAGAAUUGGGGGCCCAGGUACUUCUACGUGUGGGUGCGCAAGUGACGCUGGAAACUGGAAGGCUGCCUGAGAGUCUGCGCCAGAAGCUCUGGAUUCUCAGAUUCCCUCCCUCGUACAACCGGAGCAACUGGGGGACUUUGCUCUACAAAGAAGCGGAGCAACGCCUUCCGAAUUCUCAGCGAAGGAGUUCCCGUCCCGGUGGAGUGGAAACGAACCCAGCAAGGAUCCAUGAGGAACCAUUUCAACUCCCUAUUUGGUUGGCCUUCUUUGAGAUUCUCUCCAGAUCCACGGCCCUUCCACCCCGAGUCCCUGCAUCCAGAGCGGCAGCGAGUGCCUCUCUAAAGAGAAAGCUCUCUGCCACAUCUUUCUUGAGAACAAAUUUGCUCCAUUCCUAUCUUCUUGGCGGGUGAGUAAGUUUACCCUGGGUAGCAUUACUGCUUGUUUUUCAUUAUUCUGUUUUCCUGGCCGGGCUGUGCAAUUCCUCUCCUCGUAAUUUUCCUUGGU